CCAAGGAACAUACCAUGGUGAAGACUGGC
rnacentral:piRNA from 1 species